rnacentral:lncRNA from 1 species
AGGAGAGGCAUGUCCCUACCACCAGUCACUCAAACACCAGAAAAGCAUUUGAACAUUGUACCCGGUGAAAUAUCAGAAUGGGAGAGUGAAAUAACUACCAGCAAAAUCACUGAAACACAGAAUAAGAAUUUUCCUGAGGCCUUGAGCAAGCUCAUUCCGUCAUCUGAAAAAAAAAUGUCCAUAAUAUCUACAGAAAGGAGAGGAUUGCUUUGAAGAGGAAAUGCUGUAAUGUAGAAAUUCUUUGAAACAUUAAACAGGGCAAUACAAAGGCAUUAAGAUACACUUUCUCCAAUUUUUAGUCCUGAAAAUGUGCCUCGUUUCUAAAACAAAGGACAAAUGAAAAUAGAAAAAUUGGAUCUGGUGUAAAUUUC